UACAGAGGUCUCAAGCGUUGUUCGGAUUCAUUGGGCGUAAAGGGUGCGUAGGCUGCAGUGCAAGUCAGGUGUGAAAUCCCGGGGCUCAACCCCGGAACUGCACUUGAUACUGCUCUGCUAGAGUACUGGAGAGGAGACUGGAAUUUACGGUGUAGCAGUGAAAUGCGUAGAUAUCGUAAGGAAGACCAGUGGCGAAGGCGAGUCUCUGGACAGUUACUGACGCUGAGGCACGAAGGCCAGGGGAGCAAACGGG
rnacentral:rRNA from 1 species